rnacentral:misc_RNA from 1 species
AAGUCGUAACAAGGUCUCCGUUGGUGAACCAGCGGAGGGAUCAUUACCGAGUUAUUACUCCAAACCCUUUGUGAACCUUACCUUUUUGUUGCUCGGCGCACCGCGGGCCGCGGCUUCGGCCCGUCCCGCAGCGCGCCAGAGGACCCAACUCUUCAAUUUAUAGCGUACCUUCUGAUUUACAAAACAAACAAGUUAAAACUUUCAACAACGGAUCUCUUGGUUCUG